rnacentral:rRNA from 1 species
UACGAAGGGGGCUAGCGUUGCUCGGAAUCACUGGGCGUAAAGGGUGCGUAGGCGGGUCUUUAAGUCAGGGGUGAAAUCCUGGAGCUCAACUCCAGAACUGCCUUUGAUACUGAAGAUCUUGAGUUCGGGAGAGGUGAGUGGAACUGCGAGUGUAGAGGUGAAAUUCGUAGAGAUCAGGAAGAAUACCUGUGGCGCAAGCGCCCACCUGGCCGAGACCUGACGCUGAGGCACGAAAGCGUGGGGAGCGAACCGG